rnacentral:lncRNA from 1 species
AAACACCAAAUAACCAUUCCUAUAUAUUUUCCUUUCUCUUCUUUCCACUCACUAUAUGUAAAUACUCUAUAAUUCCUUUAACACAAAACACAAUGGACAUCAACACAACCUUUGCCACACACUCUCCAAGAAUACAAAUAAUAAGAAUCACCUCACAACACAAAUUAACACUUCCCACUUUGUAAUUCUCAAUCUUCCUUGUAAAAUCAUCUUAGGUCGAUCUUCUAUACCAUCCACGCUCAAUUAGACCAUGCGAAAUAUUAUCACACUUUAUCGUAGAUUCUUUAUACCUACCCUUCUAAUUUUUGUCACUCUCCUCGCCUUCUCCCUCAUUAUGUUGUUCAUUUACAAACAUUAUAAGCUCCGAAAACACAUGAUGUACAUGUCUCAAAUCAACGCUGGAUUCCACGAAUUCAACACUAUGAGAGAUCCUUACAAGUCAUACCACAUAUAAAGUUGUGCUCCGCACAUUGCAUGCAUGGUUUAUGAUAUUGUUAAUUCUACCAUUCUCAUUAUCAAAACCAAUGUUAUUCGUAGCCAUGUCGAUUUGUUGGAAAAUCUGGUUAUUGGUGAUGCUGUUGUAGUGUUGUGUUGUUUAUUAGGUUGGAAUAUGUAUUGAAAUCGGGGAAGGGAAACUUGUUCAGACUUAAGAACUUUUUAUUAGAAUUUUAUGUGUUUCUUUUACGGUGAAAAUGCGUUUUAAGUGGUGAUGGUAUAUGUAGAAUUGAUAAAUAAACUCUAAGACGAAAUGUGGUUGGUAACCCUCUAUAUUAUAGGAGAGUUAAGUGUAAGAGGUGUCAAGCGUAUUUCUUGCAA